rnacentral:rRNA from 1 species
AGAGUUUGAUCCUGGCUCAGGACGAACGCUGGCGGCGUGCCUAAUACAUGCAAGUCGAGCGGACAGAUGGGAGCUUGCUCCCUGAUGUUAGCGGCGGACGGGUGAGUAACACGUGGGUAACCUGCCUGUAAGACUGGGAUAACUCCGGGAAACCGGGGCUAAUACCGGAUGGUUGUUUGAACCGCAUGGUUCAAACAUAAAAGGUGGCUUCGGCUACCACUUACAGAUGGACCCGCGGCGCAUUAGCUAGUUGGUGAGGUAACGGCUCACCAAGGCGACGAUGCGUAGCCGACCUGAGAGGGUGAUCGGCCACACUGGGACUGAGACACGGCCCAGACUCCUACGGGAGGCAGCAGUAGGGAAUCUUCCGCAAUGGACGAAAGUCUGACGGAGCAACGCCGCGUGAGUGAUGAAGGUUUUCGGAUCGUAAAGCUCUGUUGUUAGGGAAGAACAAGUACCGUUCGAAUAGGGCGGUACCUUGACGGUACCUAACCAGAAAGCCACGGCUAACUACGUGCCAGCAGCCGCGGUAAUACGUAGGUGGCAAGCGUUGUCCGGAAUUAUUGGGCGUAAAGGGCUCGCAGGCGGUUUCUUAAGUCUGAUGUGAAAGCCCCCGGCUCAACCGGGGAGGGUCAUUGGAAACUGGGGAACUUGAGUGCAGAAGAGGAGAGUGGAAUUCCACGUGUAGCGGUGAAAUGCGUAGAGAUGUGGAGGAACACCAGUGGCGAAGGCGACUCUCUGGUCUGUAACUGACGCUGAGGAGCGAAAGCGUGGGGAGCGAACAGGAUUAGAUACCCUGGUAGUCCACGCCGUAAACGAUGAGUGCUAAGUGUUAGGGGGUUUCCGCCCCUUAGUGCUGCAGCUAACGCAUUAAGCACUCCGCCUGGGGAGUACGGUCGCAAGACUGAAACUCAAAGGAAUUGACGGGGGCCCGCACAAGCGGUGGAGCAUGUGGUUUAAUUCGAAGCAACGCGAAGAACCUUACCAGGUCUUGACAUCCUCUGACAAUCCUAGAGAUAGGACGUCCCCUUCGGGGGCAGAGUGACAGGUGGUGCAUGGUUGUCGUCAGCUCGUGUCGUGAGAUGUUGGGUUAAGUCCCGCAACGAGCGCAACCCUUGAUCUUAGUUGCCAGCAUUCAGUUGGGCACUCUAAGGUGACUGCCGGUGACAAACCGGAGGAAGGUGGGGAUGACGUCAAAUCAUCAUGCCCCUUAUGACCUGGGCUACACACGUGCUACAAUGGACAGAACAAAGGGCAGCGAAACCGCGAGGUUAAGCCAAUCCCACAAAUCUGUUCUCAGUUCGGAUCGCAGUCUGCAACUCGACUGCGUGAAGCUGGAAUCGCUAGUAAUCGCGGAUCAGCAUGUCGCGGUGAAUACGUUCCCGGGCCUUGUACACACCGCCCGUCACACCACGAGAGUUUGUAACACCCGAAGUCGGUGAGGUAACCUUUUAGGAGCCAGCCGCCGAAGGUGGGACAGAUGAUUGGGGUGAAGUCGAAACAAGGUA